CCCAGUAAACGGCGGCCGUAACUAUAACGGUCCUAAGGUAGCGAAAUUCCUUGUCAGGUAAGUUCUGACCCGCACGAAAGGCGUAAUGAUUUGGGCACUGUCUCAACAGCCCGCCCGGCGAAAUUGUAGUACUGGUGAAGAUGCCAGUUACCCGCAACUAGACGGAAAGACCCCAUGGAGCUUUACUGCAGCUUAAUACUGGAAUUCGGUAACCCAUGUACAGGAUAGGUGGGAGGCUUGGAAGCAGGGGCGUCAGCUCUUGUGGAGCCGCCGGUGGGAUACCACUCUUGGAUUGCUGAAUUUCUAACCUGCGGCCGUGAAUCCGGUCGGGGGACACUGUUAGGCGGGCAGUUUGACUGGGGCGGUCGCCUCCUAAAGAGUAACGGAGGCGCUCAAAGGUUGGCUCAGCACGGACGGAAAUCGUGCAGUGAGUGUAAACGUAGAAGCCAGCCUAACUGCGAGACCGACGGGUCGAGCAGUAACGAAAGUUGGAGUUAGUGAUCCGGUGGUAUGUGAGUGGAAAUGCCAUCGCUCAACGGAUAAAAGCUACCCUGGGGAUAACAGGCUGAUCUCCCCCAAGCGUCCACAGCGACGGGGAGGUUUGGCACCUCGAUGUCGGCUCGUCACAUCCUGGGGCUGUAUUCGGUCCCAAGGGUUCGGCUGUUCGCCGAUUAAAGUGGCACGCGAGCUGGGUUCAGAACGUCGUGAGACAGUUCGGUCCCUAUCUGUUGCGGGCGGAAGAGAUUUGAAGGGAGCUGUCCUUAGUACGAGAGGACCGGGAUGGACGUACCUCUGGUGCACCAGUUGUCCUGCCAAGGGCAUAGCUGGGUAGCUAUGUACGGACGAGAUAAACGCUGAAAGCAUCUAAGCGUGAAACUCUCCCUAAGAUGAGAUCUCUCAUCCUUUAUGGAGUAAGGGCCCAGAAAGACGAUCUGGUUGAUAGGCCGGAGGUGGAAGUGCAGUAAUGUAUGGAGCUGACCGGUACUAAUAGCCCGAGGGCUUGACCUA
rnacentral:rRNA from 1 species